CUAACUGCGUGCCAGAAGCGUCGGUAAGACGUGGGCCCCGAGCGUUAUCCGGUGUUACUGGGCGUAAAGAGUCGUGUAGGCGGUUCGAAAAGUUACCUUUUAAGUCCCAAUGCUCAACAUUGGAACUGGAGGUAAUACUCUCGAACUAGAGUUUUCUACAGGGUGAAUGGAACUGUGGGAGGAGUAGUGAAAUGCGUUGAUCCCCACGGGAACACCAGUGGCGAAGGCGGUUCACUGGUAGAAGACUGACGCUGAGACACGAAAGCUAGGGUAUCGAAGCAGAUUAGAGACCUGCGUAGUCCUAGCCGUAAACGCAUGCUUGCUAGCUGCAUUUCCGCCCCUUCGGGGGUUAGGUGUGGCGAAGGUAACCCGUUAAGCAAGCCGCCUGGGGAUUACGGUCGCAAGACUAAAACUCAAAGGAAUUGGCGGGGAGGCACACAACCAGUGGAACAUGUGGUUUAAUUCGAAACAAACCGAAGAACCUCACCUGGGUUUGACAUGUAGCUGCUCAUCCUAUGAAAGUAGGACUCCUUCGAGGGUGCUACACAGGUGCUGCAUGGCUGUCGUCAGUUCGUUCCGUGAGGAGUGCCCUUAAGUGGGACAACGAACGCAACCCCCAUCGUAUGUUAUAUCUGUCAUACGAAACUGCCUUGCCGUUGGCGAGGAGGAAGGAGGGGCAGACGUCAAGUCUGCAUGGUCCUUAUGCCCAGGGCUACACACAUGUUACAAUGAGAAGGAACAAUGAGCAUUGCGAACUCGCGAGGGUAAGCAAAUCUCAGAAAUCUUCUCUCAGUGGGGAUUGGAGUCUGCAAUUCGACUCCAUGAACGCGGAAUUGGUAGUAAUCGCGGGUCAGCUAUACCGCGGUGAUACGUUCUUGCCUCUUGCACACACCGCCCGUCAAGCCAACAAAGUCGGGG
rnacentral:rRNA from 1 species